GUUUGCGCGCGCAGGCGUAUAUAAGCCGGAGGAAGGAACAAUACUUCAGUCGGUGUUGUACUGGGAAGAAAGAUCUACCAUGGCCGCCAUUUUUAAGCUGCUAAUCGUGGUAUUGCUGCUGUCCCUGGUUACCUGCGGCUUGGCACUUCCUGAGGCCACGCGACGGAAGGGCCAUAGGAGGGGCGGAGGUUAUGGUAAAGGCAGAGGAGGCGGGCAUAGGAGAGGCAGCUACGGAAAGAGAGGAGGCUAUGGGAAGUAAGAUUUAUUUGAGUUCCUGAUUCAUCCACCAACACCAGCGCACUAUAAUCACAGUCAAGCUUGUCACUGACCUACUGGAUCACGUCUUAACCUUCGCUGCUGCCUCCUGCGGACCUAGCAAUCCCAAUAACAAGAAUCUUCUCUCCCUCCCCUAUUCUGAGUCUCCAUCUGGCCCAGGCUAAGAAUGUAUUCUGAAACACUUCUGCGCAGCACCUCCAAUGAUGGUGCUUAUAAUUGUAAUGAGUGUGACUAGGCUAAACGACCAACUAAUAGACUUACCCACUGCACCCUAUAUAAAGAAGAAUUCCAUGUCCAGCUUAGCUUUACCGAAAAGCCCCAGGUACAAAAUAAGUCCUAAAAUAACCAAAAUUAACUCUCCUGAGGACCAAAAUUACAAAAUUAUAGGGACCACUUGCAUAGCCUAGAUAGGACAUGAAAGUACUCCAUUGUACCAUAGUACAGUAAUUAACAUAUGCACAAUGUGAAAUAAUAAAUAAAGUUUCCAGAAUUCA